CCCUUAGACGUUCUGGGCCGCACGCGCGCUACACUGACCAGUGCAACAAGCAUCCGUCCUUGGCCGACAGGCCCGGGCAAUCUUUGAACGCUGGUCGUGAUGGGGAUGGACUUUUGCAAUUUUUGGUCUUCAACGAGGAAUUCCUAGUAAACGCAAGUCAUCAACUUGCAUUGAUUACGUCCCUGCCCUUUGUACACACCGCCCGUCGCACCUACCGAUUGAAUGGUCCGGUGAAGCCUCCGGAUUGGCGCGCACCUCGGUGCCGCCGAGAAGUUGGCUAAACCUUACCAUUUAGAGGAAGGUGAANUCGUAACA
rnacentral:rRNA from 1 species